GAUAGAUCCCACCGGAACUUGCUGCAAAGAGUUCAGUGCAUUUCCCUGUCCUGAAUCCAAAUUUGUACUCGGCUGCAAUGAAUUCAUCAUGUUCUGCUGUGAUGUUGAAAGCCCAGAUAUUGAAGACAUUGAAUUUUGCUGCAAACUUGUCAUAUUGUUCUGCUGCAUUGUUGGCACAGAACCUUGUAAAUUCAUUGUUUGCAACUGCGGGUUCAUUUGAUUUUCAUGAGACUGCACUUGAGGAAUUUGAGACUGUGGCUGCUGCAUGGAGUGCAUAUGAGGUGGGGGGAGCUGCCCUUGUUGCAGAGGAGGACCUUGCUUCCUCGGUCUAUUUGUAUUAAUAAAAUUUACUAUCUGCUUCUCAUAUAAACCCAACUUGUCUUUCAAACCAGGUGAAAUGUUACUCUUGGAAACCUGUAAAAUUGAUAUGAGGCGCUCUAACAUGGUUCUGAACAUUUUUAGCUUCUCAAGCUGCUCUGACUUUGGUUGUUGUGGAAGAGAAUCGUGCUGGCAAACAGAAAGAACAGACGUCAGUAAGCAAAAGAAUGGCAAUAUAAGGAGUAACAACUUUGUUGCGAAAUCUUAUUAGCAUUAUUGGUGAGGUAACAAUCCCAUGUAGAUGGUCUACAUGAGGACAAUAAUUAAAGGGGAGAUCAAGGUAGAAUCUAUCAAAGAGCAGCACCACAAUAACCUAGCAGGGAAACCCUGCUUAUUACUAUAAGUUCAAGCAACAAAUUAUGAGAGAAGAAAAUUUGAAUUGAUUACAUACCUGCUGGAGUUUAGUAGCAAUUUUAUGAUACAUUUCACUUAGUUCGGGUAAGUACUUUUCCUUCAUGACUUUGAUCUGCAAAUGAAAGUUAUAAACACAAAGAUGAUUAGAAAGAACUUUGCUGCAGCUACAUGCUUGCCGACACCAUCAUAACAUCAAUGCCAAUGGAAAUGAGCCUGUGCGUGCAACCAUGAAUUCAGACAGCAUGAAUUCAUGUAUGCUUGUAUCUAAUGAAGCAAGUUUUCAUAAACUUCCAACCGAUGGUAGCUUAACAAAGCUGCCCCACAAGGAGUCUUAACUAGCAUGUAAUUCUUCAAAAUCCCCAUUCAAGGCAAUUUUGGCAUUAGUAUAAUUAUUUUCCAGUAGCUCUAUUCCCACCCCCACGCCAAAUAAUUUGUAAUUUUAUAUUUAGAUGUUGUAUGUGAAAGCCAUCAAAUGGACAAGAAGUCAGGACAUUUUACUUUUUGAUAGACAUCCUCUUGCCAAUCACCCCCAUUUGCAUGUCCAGUCUGAGCUGAGGAAUCUAGAGAAGCUACAAAAUAUAGAGAGAUAUAUGUCAAUGUUUGCACAUAAAAUGAAAUUUGAACACGAGGGUUAAAAAUGAGAAAGAAACAAAAAAAAAAAAAAAAAGCAUUGCAUGCAGAACAUUGAUAUGGAAAAUUAUCCUUCCCAAACAGUUGAAAUGUAUUUUUUGUACAACAAAAUAUAAAUAUCAUUCCAUACAUCAUAAGCAAUCUAAGAACAGACAAGAAGCUUCAUGAGCCAGUGGAACAGGACCAUGCAUGCACUAGAUUGGGGAAAAUACAUCCAUGGGCAGCCAUAUUUAGUAAACACAGUAGUCCACCGAAAGCUCUUUAUCUAUAAACCAAUAGACGCAAAACUGAAGAAUAAAAAGUAAAAACCCAUGUUUUCAAAACCCAAAGGUAUGAAAGGCAAUUCAGGUGCAAUUUGUUCCUACUUUCUGCUUAUGAGGGCAAUUACUUUUUUAUGGGAAGACUUCAAGGUUUCUAUUUCUUUGUUUAAAAGUAAUUGUGGAGUUAUCAAGAAGAAAUGGGUUAACAUUAUGUCACAACAGCAUCUCUAUCACCAUAGCUCAUGAAAAGACAAAGAUACAAAAACUAAAAUCAAGGCAACAGAAGCUUCAGCCUUCACCAGUAAAUCACUCAAAAGAACUCUGAUUGUAAACAUUAAGCACAAGAGGUGAAAGGUAAACUUACAGUAACUAAAGUGGUCCGUAUACCUAAUUUGAGGUGUAGGCACAAAACUCGUAACUAGGCUAUUUAUAUAUAUAUAUAUAUAUAUAUAUAUAUAUAUAUAUAUAUAUAUAUAUAUAUAUAUAUAUAUAUAUAUAUAUAUAUAUAUAUAUUCUCUUAGUCGGGUUUAAUAACUAUUUCCUUAUCCUUGUGGAUUAUUAUUUGCAAUAAUUAUUUCAUUUCCUUGUGGGAUUUUACUUUUAGAUUAUAUAACCACAUCAAUCUCUAUUACUCAACCCUCCCCUGUGGAUAUUCAGAAUACAAGACUAACUUUGAAUUUAUUUUUCUUUCAGUUUGGGAUUUAGCUUUUUAUCUUCCCUCCCCUGUGCUGCAAUAUACAAGACUAACUCUGUUCCUUUUAUAUAAAUCCAAUUACCAAAUAUAAAUCACAAAAUUUUAUGUACACUACCACUACACAUAUCAACCUCUAAAAAGAAAAGCAAGAAAUCAAGAAAGACCAAGGCUUGCUUUAGCACUAUAGUUUAAUGUGACCAGAUAUUUGCAUAGGACUCUGGUUCUCCAUUCCAUGAUGGUUAGAUGCUGAAGUUCUGGAAAAGAACAGAAAUCCUCAUGUUUGACAGAGAGGUAUGAUGCAUCUGUUUAAAAGUGAUGGUGACAACGAACAUGUGGUGGGAAGAUGGGACACACCUACUUGGCAAGAUAGCCAGGCAUAAAAAUUUCUAUUGACUAAGUCCAAUGCACAUCCAUGUUACAUUUUAAUACAAGAAGUCAUAUAUGGCAAAGAUAAAAUUCCAAAAUUAGACUACUUCCAUAGAGAGUCUAGACACCUACAUCUGGCAACCACAACAAAACAAUAUAUUUACCAAGGUCAUCCAAAAAAAAAGUGUGCCCCAUAAAAACAUAUAAUAAAGACCAUUUUCAUAACAAAAUCAAAUUAAUGACAUAAAAAUGACAGUAUUACCUAUAAUACAAUAUGAUAAACAGACCCAAAUCACAUAAUACAAAAGUAAAAUAAGAAUAAAAUAAGAUUCCGUCCAAAAUGUGCACCUAUGAUAAUCCAGAUAUCAUGAAAGCACAUGCAUAAAAUCAGGAAAGUGCAUAAGUGCAAAAAUCGUACUCGAUGAUGUCUCAGCAAGAGGUCUCUGAGAUUGAUAUAACUGCUUUUGCUGAUCCAUUACAUUUUGAGCUUGAAGCAUGGUUCCUGAUAUCUGACCUGAUGCUUGAAGCCUUUGCUGCAUAUCUCGUUGCAGUGGAUUUGACUGCUGUUGCAAACCCAUUUGUUGCAUCUGUGCAGGCUGUGAUUGAAUCUGUGACAUCAUUUGUUGCUGUGAUGCUUGCGGUUGUGACUGCUGUCCUUGAGUCGGUAACAUGUUAGAUGCAUUCGGAUGUUGUUGCUGCUGCACCUGAACCUUGGAUUGUUGCAACAAGUGUACAGAGUGCUGAUUUGGUUGCAUACUAGAAUUACCACUUUGAGUUCCAAGGUGCUGCUGUUGCUGUAAUCCGGUAACAUUACUCUGAGAGCCCAACUGUUGCUGAUGCAUAUUUGAAAGGUUGCUUUGCUGCUGUUGCUGUAACCCAGUAACAUUACUCUGCGGGCCCAAUUGUUGCUGAUGGAUAUUAGAAAGGUUGCUUUGCUGAGCCAUUAACUGCUGCUGCUGCUGUUGUUGUUGCUGUUGCUGCUGCUGCUGCUGUUGAUGUUGCUGUUGCUGUUGUUGCAGGUUUAAAACAUUAUUCUGCUGGUUUAGUAACCUCUGUUGUUGCUGCUGCUGCAUAUCCCCGACAUUAGUUUGUUGUCCAAUCAUCUGAUUCUGGGACAAGUUUGAAGCAGUUGGCUGUUGCACCAUAAGCUGCGGCUGCUGCUGCUGCGGGGUUAAUAUUGGCUGUUGUGCCAUUGGUGUUUGCUGUUGAUGAACAGCUACCUGUUGAGGCUGCUGUUGCUGCCUGAGAACUGGCUGUGAAUGCUGCGGAAGCAUGGGUUGUGAUGACUGUUGCAUAGCAGAUUGUUGAUUCUGCUGGAGAGAUGAUUGCACUGAAGGCUGCAUAACAGACGAUGUUGGCAUAACAGAUUGCUGGGAAGAUUGCAACUGAGUCGGUUGUAAAAGGUUCUGCUGCUGUUGCUGUUGCUGUUGCACAAGUUGUGGCAUAUUUCCCUGCUGAUAUUUUGGCUUCAAAAGCGAAUGUUGCAUCUGUUGAUGGUACAUAUACUGCUGGGAAUUCUGGGAAUUCUGGGAUUGCUGCGGCUGCUGCUGUUGGGGAGCUACCUGUUGCCUUCCUGGCAUUUGCCUUUGAGAAUUAGCAAAGACAUUGGAGGGUACCCCCUGGCCCAUGGAAUUCCCUAAUGAAUUCUGUGAACUUCCAGACAUAUUUUGCAUGUUUGGGUUUUGUCCACCUAUACUUGGGAUAGGAGUCUGGGUUAAACCGGAAGAAGGAGGUAGUGCAGAUGAUAAGCCAGACGAACUUUGAACUCCAGCAGGUGGAAUGUUAUUCUGAAUGCUCUGUGAUAAAAGUGGUUGGCGUCCUUGAGAUUGAUUAGCUGGUAACGGCAUAGAGAGUGAUUGCCCAUGAUUGGGGACUUGGGAUUGCAUACCUUGAUUGGGAACUUGGGGUUGCAUACCAAAAGACCCUAUCCAAGUAAAAUAGCAAGAAUAAACACCACAUAAACAAGCAUCAAAACAAGAAUACAAUAAAUGUCAUUUGUACUCAUCAUUUGACCCAUUAAAUACAAGUGAAUAAAGAUAUCAAGAACGAAUCAUCUCAGUUAAGAAAUGCAGGAAUAAUUAACAAAAAGAAAGAACGUUUCAUUAGUUGUUUUUACCCGGAUCAGGGGGCCUGUUGCUGUUACCCGCAGAGUUAGAUUGUAAAGGAUUGGCCAUUGAAUUCUGAGACUUUGUCUCCAUUGUGAGCAUCUUCAGAGAAAUUUUCCGUAGAUAAUCCGACUACAAAAAUAAAAAAAUCCAUGCUAAAUUUAGAAUACAGUUCUAUCCAAAAUAUGAAGAAAGUUCAAGCAUAGACAACAUAUUUUUAAGAAGUCAUAUAUGUAAUAGAUAGGUAAGUAUUUAAGUACGCAAACAUUUCAUGCACCAUAAGAAAUAAGAACUCUGGUAUUAUGGAAGCACCUGGCUUGUGGCUGCAGUAUAAAUCUUUUCCUCAAACCUUACAGCAAUUUUACUGAGUUCCUGUAAUCCAUCUUGUCCGGAGAAGGGAAGAUGCCUCUUCAACGUAUCCAUUCUAUACAUGCAAUAAAACCAACAUCAGUUACUGACUACCAAAAUGGGGGUAGCGUUCAUAAUAGCAAAGCUGGAUUAGACUACCGCUUGAAACAAAAAAAGUUCAACAAAGAAAAACACUUACAUCUUGUUGACAAUUCUUUGCCUCGAAUCAGCCUGCAGCUGACUCCUCCAAUCGCCGGCAUCCAUGGCAGCCUCUCCAACUUGAGAAGGCCUCCACUUAUUGGUAUCCAUCAAAUCCAAUCAACCCAACAAAACUGCCAAAAACAAAAGUACAGGACUGAGCAACUUCAACGAAAGCCUACGAAAAGGGCACAAAAAAUUCGUACAAGAGCUAGCUAUUCGGACAACGAUACAGUUUACAAUUACGCAGGCAUUUUUUUUGCAUCAGAAAUUGCAUUCAUUCAAGCUGAUUCUAAACACGAUUUAGGCGCCAUGAAAAAUCAGAACUUGCAAUUCAUACAACCGAAAACCAGAUACGAUUUACACAAUCAGAUCACAAAAACACCAACAAUAACGAAUUUUCCACAAAACCCACGAUCGAUCAACAUCUAAAACAAAAAACCCAACAAAAAUUGACCAAAAAGUUACCUCUUUUCUUUCAGAACAGGAGAGUUGAAGAUUUAAAGGUUCAGGUUGCCUGGAGUCAAACAAUGGAGAAAUCGCAGAACAGGGAAAUCGGGGGAUUGGGAAAGGAAGGAGGGUUCUUGCUCAAAAGCUUCAAACUUUGACAAGAUUUAAUGGAUUGAUGCGUUAGUAGUAGGAAGGGAGAGACAACGAAAUAUCCUGUUUUAACCAAUGUCUGAUUUUUUUUUUAGGUUUUUUUUUUUAAAUUUGAAUUUUUUAGGGACAAAAAGACAAUAAAACCAUUGUCCUUAGGAAUUUAUAAGUUGCCACUUACCACUUUAUCCUAAUCCUAGGCUUUCUUGUCAAAUCCCAAUUGGAUAGGAAUAUUUCCAACUGAGUCAAAAGAACAAAGUAGUCUUAUUUAUAACUAGCUUCUUGGUACGCGUUCAAAUGCGCGAAUUAACUUUUAAACGUCAAUUAAUGUAUUAGCAUUUCAUUAGUUUUAUGUCUUAUAUCAUCACUUUGAAACUUAUUUAUUUGUACACUAAAUAAGAAACUGCUAUAUAUAGUUGGUGUAAUAAGUUUGUGUCUUUAGCAUUAUUGAUGUAAAUAGACUGAUUUUCUUAUAUUUUUUUUAUUUUAAAUUUAUUAGUUAUAUAACUUUACACUUUAUUGCUUUUCAAUGAAGACAGAACAAGGAGGAGAUCAAUUAUUCCUCAAUUAAUCUACUUCAUUAUUCCUCAAUUAAUCUGCUUCUUGACCAUUUUGGUAUUAGAUUCCAUAUAGUAAAGCGUCAUGUAACUUUCAUUUUCAUGUGUUAAUAAAUGUAAGAAUCUAAAUGAUUUUGCAUGUGAUUGGCAUGAAAUCCAAAUGUGCUCUUUAGUUCAAUAUAACAACCUCUUGUCCCGCGAGAUUUUGAAACCAUUACCUCCUCCGACGAAAUGGAGAUCAAAAAACCAUUAGUACAAAGGUAGAAUACAACCAAACUCUAGGUAUAGCAAUUUUUGUUCUCUCUAACAAAAGCUAAUACAUGCAGAUGACACUUUACCAUAGUGACGAAAAACAAUUAUGUCUACGCACCCCAACCAACCUCCUCACCCCUAACAAAAGCCAAUACAUUGAUAUCGUCUACCCUUCUAAAGUCAUCACAUUUUUAUUCAGAGAAUGGAGGAGAGAAGCUGAAGUAGCGUAUGAGGCCAUGAGAACAUGGAAAUUCAGACCAAAGGAGCAUAAAAACCAUAUGGAAAAGAUGAUGAUGCAUGUGGAACAAUUGACAAACUUGAUAGAAAAGAUGUGAUGCGCAAACACGACGCCUUUUCAGGUUGGAGGGGGCCUUUGUGGUCUGAGCGAGAGAGAGAGAGAGAGAGAGAGAGAGAGAGCUCCUCUAAUUCAAUCAUAUAAAAGUAAAACUGAUGAUAAAUCAUUCCAAACACACAAAUAACGUUAUAAAAAUGCAGUCUCUUUAAUUAAUUAUUGACAAAUAGCUUGAAAUCUUUCAAAAUGCGGUCCAUUCAUUUUGCGGUUGCGGUUGUGAUUUCUUCGUUUUGUUGAAGCUCGCCAGCCUCUCAACAACGGUGCAAUCCACUUUACAUAUGAGGAGGUGGGGGGAGCUGCCCUUGUUGCAGAGGAGGACCUUGCUUCCUCGGUCUAUUUGUAUUAAUAAAAUUUACUAUCUGCUUCUCAUAUAAACCCAACUUGUCUUUCAAUCCAGGUGAAAUGUUACUCUUGGAAACCUGUAAGAUUGAUAUGAGGCGCUCUAACAUGGUUCUGAACAUUUUUAGCUUCUCAAGCUGCUCUGACUUUGGUUGUUGUGGAAGAGAAUCGUGCUGGCAAACAGAAAGACCAGACAUCAGUAAGCAAAAGAAUGGCAAUAUAAGGAGUAACAACUUUGUUGCGAAAUCUUAUUAGCAUUAUUGGUGAGGUAACAAUCCCAAGUAGACAGUCUACAUGGGUACAAUAAUUAAAAGGGAGAUCAAGGUAGAAUCUAUCAAAGAGCAGCACCACAAUAACCUAGCAGGGAAAGCCCUGCUUAUUGCUAAAAGUUCAAGCAACAAAUUAUGAGAGAAGAAAAAAUUGAAUUGAUUACAUACCUGCUGAAGUUUAGUAGCAAUUUUCUGAUACAUUUCACUUAGUUCGGGUUCGUACCUUUCCUUCAUGACUUUGAUCUGCAAAUGAAAGUUAUAAAUACAAAGAUGAUUAGAAAGAACUUUGCUGCAGCUACAUGCUUGCCGAUACUCAUGAAUUCAGACAGCAUGAAUUCAUGUAUGCUUGUAUCUAAUGAAGCAAGUUUUAAUUAACUCCCAACCGAUGGUAGCUUAACAAAGCUGCCCCACAAGGAAUCUUAACUAGCAUGUAAUUCUUCAAAAUCCCCAUUCAAGGCAAUUUUGGCAUUAGUAUAAUUAUUUUCCAGUAGCUCUAUUCCCACCCCCACGCCAAAUAAUUUGUAUUUUUUAUCUUUAGAUGUUGUAUGUGAAAGCCAUCAAAUGGACAAGAAGUCAGGACAUCUUACUUUUUGAUAGACCUCCUCUUGCCAAUCACCCCCAUUUGCAUAUCCAGUCUGAGCUGAGGAAUCUAGAAAAGCUACAAAAUAUAGAGAGAUAUAUAUGUCAAUGUUUGCACAUAAAAUGAAAUUUGAACACAAGGGUUAAAAAUGAGAAAGAAAAAAAAUAAGCAUUGCAUGCAAAACAUUGAUAUGGAAAAUUAUCCUUCCCAAACAGUUGAGGUGCAAUUUUGCUCCUACUUUCUGCUUAUGACGGUAAUUACUUUUUUAUGGGAAGACAUCAGGUGCAAUUUUGCCCUUGAUUGGGGUCUUGGGGUUGCAUACCUUGAUUGGGGACCUGGGGUUGCAUACCGAAAGACCCUUCUCAAGUAAAUAGCAAGAAUAAACACCAUACAAACAAGCGUCAAAACAAGAAAACAAUAAAUGUCAUUUGUACUCAUCAUUUGAUCCAUUAAAUACGAGCGAAUAAAGAUAUCAAGAACGAAUCAUCUCAGUUAAGAAAUGCGGGAGUAAUUAAGAAAAAGAACGAACAUUUCUCGCAACAGAUCAACCAUCAAGAAGAAAGGUAGCCAAGAGAGAAAAGGGCAGUUUUCAAUAGUUGUUUUUACUGUUACCAGCAGAGUUAGAUUGUAAAGGAUUGCCCAUUGAAUUCUGAGACUUGGUCUCCAGUGUGAGCAUCUUCAGAGAAAUUUUCCGUAGAUAAUCCGACUACAAAAUAAAAAAAUCCAUGCUAAAUUUAGAAUACAGUUCUAUCCAAAAUAUGAAGAAAGUUCAAACAUAUACAACAUUUUUUUAAGAAGUCAUAUAUGUAAUAGAUAGGCAAGUAUUUAAGUACACAAACAUUUCAUGCACCAUAAGAAAUAAGAACUCUGGUAUUAUGGAAGCACCUGGCUUGUGGCUGCAGUAUAAAUCUUUUCCUCAAACCUUACAGCAAUUUUACUGAGUUCCUGUAAUCCAUCUUGUCCGGAGAAGGGAAAAUGCCUCUUCAACGUAUCCAUUCUAUACAGGCAAUAAAAUCAACAUCAGUUACUGACUACCAAUAUGUUCUAAGUUUGAAGUCCUCUCGCCAUAGUUUAGAUUAGAUUACGCUAAAUUAGACUACCGCUUGAAACAAAAAAAAAAAUGGACAAAGAAAAACACUUGCAGAUUGUUGACAAUUCUUUGCCUUGAAUCAGCCUGCAGCUGACUCCUCCAAUCGCCGGCAUCCAUGGCGGCCUCUCCAACUUGAGAAGGCCUCCACUUAUUGGUAUCCAUCAAAUCCAAUCAACCCAACAAAACUGCCAAAAACAAAAGCACAGGACUGAGCAACUUCAACGAAAACCUACGAAAACGGCACAAAAAUUCGUACAAGAGCUAGCUAUUCGAACGACGAUACAGUUUAUAAUUACGCAGGCAGUUUUUUUGCUUCAGAAUUUGCAUUCAUUCAAGCUGAUUCUAAACACGGUUUAGGCGCCAUGAAAAAUCAAAACUUGCAAUUCACAUACAAUCGAAAACCAGAUACGAUUUACACAAUCAGAUCAAAAAAAAAAAAACAUUAACGAAUUUCCCACAAAACCCACGAUCGACCAACAUCUAAAACAAAAAACCCAACAAAAUUUGACCAAAAAGUUACCUCUUUUGUUUCAGAACAGGAGAGUUGAAGAUUGAAAGGUUCAGGUAGCCUGGAGUGAAACAAUGGAGAAAUUGCAGAACUGGGAAAUCGGGGGAUUGGGAAAGGAAGGAGGGUUCUUGCUCAAAAGCUUCAAACUUUGACAAGAUUGAAUGGAUUGAUGCGUCCGAUGUGGUCUUUUUAGUUAAGUAGGAAGGGAGAGACAACAAAUAUCCUAUUUUAACAAAUGUCUGAUUUUUUAGGUUUUUUUUUUUUUUUUAUAGAAAACCUAAUGAAAAGCGUUUGAAAUGUUUUAGUUUUAAUAAAAAAUCAUGUUAUAAGUUUUGUUUAAUGAUUAGUAUAAGACUCAUAUUAAAGUAGUCUAACUAAAAAUUGUCUAACUAUAAUAACUUAUUAUUUGUCGAUUUUACCCUUAACUUUUUUAGGUUGACUUCCAGAUUUUCGUCGUUAAUGAAGUUCAUCGUUGUUUUGCAGACCUUCUUCUUUUUCUUUGAAACAAAAAUAUAGAUCCUCAUGCAAGUUAAUUUAUAUUUUGUAUUAUUUUGUUGAAACGUGAUCGUUGUUAUUAUUCAUAAAGUAUUCGAAAUACUGUUUUUCAAUUUUUCUUCGUUAGUGGAGUUCAUCGUUUGUUUUUCCAGAAAACAAAUUUGAGAUCUGCACGUUAUUCAAUAAUAACGAUGGGUCACUGUUUCUAGACUGUAAAAAUAAACUGUUUCUGGAUUUUAAGUAACACUGUUUCUGAAAUCUAAGUCACUGUUUCUGGAUCUAAAUGAAAUAGACACAUUGUUUCUUAAAUGUAAGCUAGAAAAGAAAUAGUGAAAUUCAUUGUAUUUGGAUUCAAAGAAAAAUAAGCAUCAUGUUUCUUAAAUAUAAUCAACUGAUGCAUGAAAGAAAAGAAACAAUCAAAGGUUAAAAUAUAGACUGUUUUCAAAAAUAGUGUUAUGUUUUGGGUUCUCCAGAAACAUUUUUAUGUUUUGGUUUUUUUUUUUCCUAUUUACAGACGCCUGACAUGUACGUACAUCACCGGGACCGUAGGUCCAUAUUGGAUCUAAUUGGAAUAAAAUACUAACACUAUAAAUUGUUCGUGGUGCUAAUAAGAGAAUGAGGAUGAGGACGUUGACGUUGACGAGGACGAGGAGGAUAAGGGCACGAAAAAGGUAGACAAUAGUUUUGGAUGAUUUUUUAUUAAACUUUGAGCCCUUUUGGUUAAAUAAUAUUUUAGGUUGAUUUUUGGUUAAAUAUUUGUUGGCCCAAAUCCUUUUCAUUAAAGCUCCAUUUGUUUAUUUAUGUUUGAAAUUUGAAUUUUUAGGGACAAAAUGACGAUAAAACCAUUGUCAUUAGGACGUUAUAAGUUGCCACUUACCACUUUAUCCUAAUCCUUCUAGGCUUUCUAGUCAAAUCCCAAUAGGAUAGGAAUAUUUCCGACUGUGUCAAAAGAACAAUGUAGUCUUCUUUAUAACUAGCAUCUCGGUACGCGCUCAAAUGCGCGAAUUGACUUUUAAACACCAAUUAAUGUGUUGGCAUUUCAUUAGUUUUAUGUUUUAUAUCAUCACUUUGAAACUUAUUUAUUUGUACUAAAUAAGAAAUUGCUAUAUAUAGUUGGUGUAAUAAGUUUGUGUCUCUAACAUUAUUGAUGUAAAUAGACUGAUUUUCUUAUAUUAUUUUUAAUUUUAAAUUUAUUAAUUAUAUAACUUUACACUUUAUUGCUUUUCAAAGAAGACAGAACAAGGAGGAGAUCAAUUAUUCCUCAUUUAAUCUACUUCUUGACCUUUUUGGUAUUAAAUUGCAUAUAGUAAGCAUCACGUAACUUUUAUUUUCAUGUGUUAAUAAAUGUAAGAAUCAAAUGAUUUCACAUGUGAGUAAAUACAUGUGGUUGGCAUGAAAUCUUCAAUAAAACCUCUUGUCCCAUGAGAUUUUGAAACCAUUACCUCAUCCGACGAAAUGGAGAUCAAAAAACCAUUAGUACAAAGGUAGAAUACAACCAAACUCUAGGUAUAGCAAUUUUUUUUCUAUCUAACAAAAGCCAAUACAUGCAGAUGACGUUUUAUCAUAAUGACAAAAAGCAAUUAUGUCUAUGCACCCCAACCAACCUCCUCACCCCUAACAAAAGCCAAUACAUGCAGAUGACGUUUUAUCAUAAUGACGAAAAGCAAUUAUGUCUAUCCUCUACCCUUAUAAAGUCAUCACAUUUUUAUUCAGAGAAUGGAGGAGAGAAGCUGAAGUAGUAGCAUAUGAGGCCAUGAGAACAUGGAAAUUCAGACCAAAGAAGCAUAAAAACCAUAUGGCAAAGAUGAUGAUGCAUCUGGAACAAUUGACAAACUCGAUAGAAAAGAUGUGAUGCGCAAACACAACGCCCUUUCAGGUUGGAGGGGCCUCUGUGGUCUGAUACUUGGUCUCCAUUGUGAAGUCACGGCCCAGGAUUAUGGAAGUACCUGGAUUGUGGCUGCAGUAUACUAAUACGAGGGGGAGAGAGACAGAGAGAGACACAGAGAGAGAGAGAGGGACAGCUCCUCUAAUUCAACCAUAUAAAAGUAAAACUGAUGAUAAAUCAUUCCCAUAGUCAUACAAUAAAAGUAAAUAAGCAUUUCUACUGUUCCAAACACACAAACAACGUCAAAAAAAAUGCAGUCUCUUUAAUUAAUUUAUUGGCAAAUAGCUAGAAAUCUUUCAAAAUGCGGUCCAUUCAUUUUGCAGUUGCGCUUGCGGUUUCUUCGUUUUGUUGAACCUCGCCAGCAUCUCUACAAUGGUGCAAUCCACUUUACAAUGCACUGUGCAGUGCCCAUUGCACUUCCCUUUCCACUGCCCUGGCAUUAUCAGCAGAAUCCGCCUAUGUUUGACAAUACUUUUCCGCGUAGUACGUUGCAAAUGAUAUAAAUUAUUCCAGCGUCACAUCCUUCUUGCCCUUGUUUCUUCUUCUAGCAGCAGCAGUGGCGGGAGUAGCAGCACCACAAUGAUGACAACGCCCAGCCUUCCACCUCACAGCAGCAAACAGAUGCACUCAAUGCAUCUGAGCCAAUGUCACUGACAGAUGCACUCAAUGCAUUAGGUGACAUCGAUUUCAGUACUCAAAAAGAGAAAUAUGUAAUAAGAACCACUUUACUAACCGCCUUAAUCAAGCGUUCAAGAGGCUGCUCGGUAACACUCGACUUGCCAAAAAUAAUUGACAAAGCAUUAACAUGAGUAGCAUCUGGUACACUAAAUUCAGCAAGCAAAGGAGAUGCUGAUAUCCCAGCGGUGCCAAAUGCAAGGGACUGGACUGGUGCUCCCACCCCAGCUACUUGUUGAUGUCCGAUAUUCCCAGCAUUUGGUAGUGAGGAAGGUUUCUCAAAAUCCCCUGCCAUGGGGGAUGGAGCCAUGGGAGUUGAAGGAGAUGGCAUGACAACAGGUGAACUGGCAGUUUGCAAUGGUGUUCCAGCUUUCGGGUGAGUCGGUAGAUUCUGCUGGUCAACUUGGGGAGAAGAAUGUUGCGAAAUUUUAGGAGAUGCAGCCUGAAGGAGUUGGUUUGAUGAUGGAAUAGGAAAUGGAGAUCCUGAUUUCAACUGCUGAUGCGGAUAAGCAUGCUGGCCUGUGGAUAUAUGUUGCUGAAAAACCCCUGGCUUAACACCCAUCCCCUGUCUCAUCUUCAAGUCAUUUUCAUCAUUCAUUUGAUGAAGCUGUGGCAUUUGGUGUUGGUUCGCCUCCAUCUGCGCUGGAAGCUGCUGCUUUGCUUGCUGCAACUGUUGCUGCUGUUGCUGUUGCAGGUAUCUGCUGCUUCUGUAUAAAUUGCUGCUGCAUUUGCUGUUGAUUCUGUUGCUUCAGCUGAUUCUGAAACAUUUGCUGUUCUUGCUGUUUCAAUUGCUGGUGUUGAAGCAUACCAGAAUUUGACUGAAGGGAGUUAAUAAUUUGGCUGAAGCAUACUAACCCCACUCUGCGAUGACAAACCAUUCAUGUUAGCUUGAUGGGAAGCACUGACAGGAGUUUGUUGGAUAGAUCCCACUGGAACUUGCUGCAAAGAGUUCAGUGCAUUUCCCUGUCCUGAAUCCAAAUUUGUACUCAGCUGCAAUGAAUUCAUCAUGUUCUGCUGUGCUGUUGAAACCCCAGAUAUCGAACACAUUGAAUUUUGCUCCAAGCUUGUCAUAUUGUUCUGCUGCAUUGUUGGCACAGAACCUUGUAAAUUCAUUGUUUGCAACUGCGGGUUCAUUUGAUUUUCAUGAGACUGCACUUGACGAAUUUGAGACUGCGGCUGCUGCAUAGAGUGCAUAUGAGGUGGGGGGAGCUGCCCUUGUUGCAGAGGACGACCUUGCUUCCUCAGUCUAUUUGCAUUUCUAAAAUUUACCAUCUGCUUCUCAUAUAAACCCAACUUGUCUUUCAAACCAGGUGAAAUGCUACUCUUGGAAAUCUGUAAGACUGAUAUGAGGCGCUCUAACAUGGAUUUGAACAUUUUUAGCUUCUCAAGCUUCUCUGACUUUGGUUGUUGUGGAAGAGCAUCCGUGCUGGCAAACAGAAAGAACAGACGUCAGUAAGCAAAAGAAUGGCAACAUACGGAGUAACAACUUUGUUGCGAAAUCUUAUUAGCAUUAUUGGUGAGGUAACAAUCCCAUGUAGACGGUCUACAUGGGUACAAUAAUUAAUAGGGAGAUCAAGGUAGAAUCUAUCAAAGAGCAGCACCACAAUAACCUUGCAGGGAAAGCCCUGCUUAUUGCUAAAAGUUCAAGCAACAAAUUAUGAGAGAAGAAAAAAUUGAAUUGAUUACAUACCUUCUGAACUUUAGUAGCAAUUACCUGAUACAUUUCACUUAGUUCGGGUAAGUACCCUUCCUUCAUGACUUUGAUCUGCAAAUGAAAGUUAUAAAUACAAAGAAGAUUAGAAAGAACUUUGCUGCAGCUACAUGAUUGCCGACACCAUCAUAACAUCAAUGCCAAUGGAAAAGAGCCCGUGCAUGCAACCAUGAAUUCAGACAACAUGAAUUUCAUGUAUGCUUGUAUCUAAUGAAGCAAGUUUUAAUUAACUCCCAACCGAUGGUAGCUUAACAAAGCUGCCCCACAAGGAAUCUUAACUAGCAUGUAAUUCUUCAAAAUCCCCAUUCAAGGCAAUUUUGGCAUUAGUAUAAUUAUUUUCCAGUAAUAUGCAUUUUUAUAUUUAGAUGUUGUAUGUGAAAGCCAUCAAAUGGACAAGAAGUCAGGACAUCUUACUUUUUGAUAGACCUCCUCUUGCCAAUCACCCCCACUUGCAUAUCCAGUCUGAGCUGAGGAAUCUAGAGAAGCUACAAAAUAUAGAGAGAUAUAUAUGUCAAUGUUUGCACAUAAAAUGAAAUUUGAACGCGAGGGUUAAAAAUGAGAAAGAAAAAAAAAAAGCAUUGCAUGCAGAACAUUGAUCAGGGGGCCCGUUGCUCUUACCAGCAGAGUUAGAUUGUAAAGGAUUGCCCAUUGAAUUCUGAGACUUGGUCUCCAUUGUGAGCAUCUUCAGAGAAAUUUCCCGUAGAUAAUCCGACUACAAAAACAAAAAAAAUCCAUGGUAAACUUAGAAUACAGUUCUAUCCAAAACAUGAAGAAAGUUCAAACAUAGACAACAUUUUUUAAAAGUCAUAUAUGAAAUAGAUAGGUAAGUAUUAAGUACGCAAACAUUUCAUGCACCAUAUGAAAUAAGAACUCCGGAAUUAUGGAAGAACCUGGCUUGUGGCUGCAGUAUAAAUCUCUUCCUCUAAACCUUACAGCAAUUUCACUGAGUUCCUGUAAUCCAUCUUGUCCGGAGAAGGGAAGAUGCCUCUUCAACGUAUCCAUUCUAUACAUGCAAUAAAAUCAACAUCAGUUACUGACUACCAAUAUGUUUUAAGUUUGAAGUCCUCUCGCCAUAGUUUAGAUUAGAUUACGCUAGAUUAGACUACCGCUUGAAACAAAAAUAAAAAAUCGACAAAGAAAAACACUUGCAUCUUGUUGACAAUUCUUUGCCUUGAAUCAGCCUGCAGCCGACUCCUCCAAUCGCCGGCAUCCAUGGCGGCCUCUCCAACUUGAGAAGGCCUCCACAGCGGCUGCUGCUGCUGUUGGGGUAAAAUUGGCUGUUGUGCCAUUGGUGUUUGUUGUUGAUGAACAGCUACCUGUUGAGGCUGCUGUUGCUGCCGGAGAACUGGCUGUGAAUGCUGCUGAAGCAUGGGUUGUGAUGACUGUUGCAUAGCAGAUUGUUGAUUCUGCUGAAGACUCAAGAGAAAUGAUUGCACCGAAAGCUGCAUAAAGGAUGAUGUUGGCAUAACAGAUUGCUGGGAAGACUGCAACUGAGUCGGUUGUAAAAGGUUCUGCUGCUGUUGCUGUUGCACAAGUUGUGGCAUAUUUCCCUGCUGAUAUUUUGGCUUCAAAAGCGAAUGUUGCAUCUGUUGAUGGUACAUAUACUGCUGGGAAUUCUGGGAAUUCUGGGAUUGCUGCGGCUGCUGCUGUUGGGGAGCUACCUGUUGCCUUCCUGGCAUUUGCCUUUGAGAAUUAGCAAAGACAUUGGAGGGUACCCCCUGGCCCAUGGAAUUCCCUAAUGAAUUCUGUGAACUUCCGGACAUAUUUUGCAUGUUUGGGUUUUGUCCAACAAUACUUGGGAUAGGAGUCUGGGUUAAACCGGAAGAAGGAGGUAGUGCAGAUGAUAAGUCAGACGAACUUUGAACUCCAGCAGGUGGAAUGUUAUUCUGAAUGCUCUGUGAUAAAAGUGGUUGGCGUCCUUGAGAUUGAUUAGCUGGUAACGGCAUAGAGAGUGAUUGCCCAUGAUUGGGGACUUGGGGUUGCAUACCAAAAGACCCUAUUCAAGUAAAAUAGCAAGAAUAAAUACCACAUAAGCAAGCAUCAAAACAAGAAUACAAUAAAUGUCAUUUGUACUCAUCAUUUGACCCAUUAAAUACAAGUGAAUAAAGAUAUCAAGUACGAAUCAUCUCAGUUAAGAAAUGCAGGAAUAAUUAAGAAAAAGAAAGAACGUUUCAAUAGUUGUUUUUACCUGGAUCAGGGGGCCUGUUGCUCUUACCAGCAGAGUUAGAUUGUAAAGGAUUGCCCAUUGAAUUCUGAUACUUGGUCUCCAUUGUGAGCAUCCUCAGAGAAAUUUUCCGUAGAUAAUCCGACUACAAAAACAAAAAAAAUCCAUGCUAAACUUAGAUUACAGUUCUAUCCAAAAUAUGAAGAAAGUUCAAACAUAGACAACAUUAUUUUAAGAAAUCAUAUAUGUAGUAGAUAGGUAAGAACUCUGGUAUUAUGGAAGCACCUGGCUUGUGGCUGCAGUAUAAAUCUUUUCCUCAAACCUUACAACAAUUUUACUGAGUUCCCGCAAUCCAUCUUGUCCGAAGAAGGGAAGAUGCCUCUUCAAUGUAUCCAUUCUAUACAUGCAAUAAAACCAACAUCAGUUACUCAAAACGGGGGUGGCAUUCAUAAUAGCAAAACUGGAUUCGUAUACAAUCCACUAAAAUAUGUUUUAAGUUUGAAUCCCUCUCACCAUAGUUUAGAUUAGAUUACGCUAAAUUAGACUACCGCUUGAAACAAAAAAAAAUCGAAAAAGUAAAACACUUACAUCUUGUUGACAAUUCUUUGCCUCGAAUCAGCCUGCAGCUGACUCCUCCAAUCGCCGGCAUCCAUGGCGGCCUCUCCAACUUGAGAAGGCCUCCACUUAUUGGUAUCCAUCAAAUCCAAUCAAACCAACAAAACUGCCAAAAACAAAAGCACAGGACUGAGCAACUUCAACGAAAACCUACGAAAACGGCACAAAAAAUUCGUACAAGAGCUAUUCGGACGACGAUACAGUUUAUAAUUACGCAGGCAAUUUUUUUCAUCAGAAAUUGCAUUCAUUCAAGCUGAUUCUAAACACGAUUUAGGCGCCAUGAAAAAUCAAAACUUGCAAUUCACAUACAACCGAAAACCCGAUACGAUUUACACAAUCAGAUCACAAAAACACCAACAAUAACGAAUUUCCCACAAAACCCACGAUCGUUCAACAUCUAAAACAAAAAAACCAAAAAAAAUGUCCAAAAAGUUACCUCUUUUCUUUCAGAACAGGAGAGUUGAAGAUUGAAAGGUUCAGGCAGCCUGGAGUGAAACAAUGGAGAAAUUGCAGAACUGGGAAAUCGGGGGAUUGGGAAAGGAAGGAGGGUUCUUGCUCAAAAGCUUCAAACUUUGAGAAGAUUGAAUGGAUUGACGCGUCCGGACGGGAUAUUUGGAAAAAUAUAAAAUUAUGAUCAUCCUUUUAAAUUUAUGCACAGUACUCCUUAGUAUAACCGUCGAAUAGUAUCAAUUGGACCUUAGAAAGAAUCCCUUUGAUGCUACGAAGAUCUUCUAAAAUCUUCUGCCACUGUAGUGGCUUAAGUCGGAGUACAACAUCGAAUAACCGUGUCAUGAUACAACGAUUACUUUGCAGAGUUUUGUAGACAUGCAAGAAUGAAAACCUCGUUCUUUUUGCUUUACGAAGUUCCCACUGUAAGAAGAGUUACCAAACUCAUCUCGUGUUACAUGUCGCGGGGUUUGCUCCACGCCCCACGUUGUUGUAGAUAACAAACGUGUUAUCCGAUGGACGCUACAGACUCAUCCACAGGGUACUUCAUCAUGCAAGAUCCUAGAAUGGCACUUAGUUGGUUACUAAGGCGUCGUCCUGGUGAGUCUACCAAACCCACAAUUUGAUAUAAAAGUAAUAAAAUACCCUUAAUGACUAAAAACUUGUUCAUUAGCUUAACUGAGAAAUUUGGAAAAGCGACCAUAUUUUAGAUCCCAUAUAGAAUUAUAGCCAUUAUUUUAGUUUUACGAUAAUUUUAACCAAAACUUGAUAUAAAAGUACUAAUAUACCAUUAAUGACAAAAAAAUUCCCCAUUUCUCUUAACCAUGAAAAAAUAACAAUUAAUUGAGAUCUUGAAGCAUAAAAGAGGUAGCCUCUUGAAUACUACCCAGUACCCUUACUCUCGAACCCCUCCAUUUCCUACACACUUUUUUAAUCAAUAUAUAUAUGUAUGUAUGUAUAUAGAUAUAGAGUAGAUAUUGAUAUUCAAACGUAAUCAAAGAGCAUAAAAAAUGAAGAUAACCUAGUAAACUAAACAUAAAACCAUGAGAAAUCAGCAAAGGGUGCUCUUUGGUUUAAGGUGAGAGACUAGAUGGUUGAGAGAGAGUUUAAAGGAAGUUUUGUUUUUGUUGUGAGAAACCCCUAAUGCGGAUUAAUCAAGCAGGGUCAAGAUAAUCAGGUAGGUAGUGACCCCCAAUGCGGAUUAACCAAGCAGAGUCACACCUGUAGAACUGUUAGGCAAUGAUCACCCAACGCGAAUUAACCAAACAUGAUCACUCCUAAGUAUAAAUGGCCAUAAGGAUCGCCCAACGCGGAUUAACCAAGCGCAAUCCGUAUAUAGUAUGGUUCCCCAACGCGGAUUAACCAAGCAGAGCCACUAAUGACCCCCUAUCGCGAAUUAACCAAGCAGGGUCAUGGUCUCCUAUUAGCCCUCAAUUUAACAACCAUUCCAAUAUGCUAUUCAAUUCACUUUUUCAAAAAUAUUAUCAAUCCAAUUUACUUCACUUCAUGAUGAUUCACAACAUAAAUAUACUUCUCACAUAACUUUCUCAUUACUCAAAGAACUUAAGGAAUAAUGCAAUACCAAUGCAAAUCAUAAUUCUCAUUAAUGAGAUUUUUCAUAAUCAUCAUGGAAUUUUCACCACAACACAAUGCAAUUCAUAUAUGUAACUCAAAUGUAUAUGUGUCCAUAUAUCACAUGAAUGCAUCUUUACGCCCAAAAAAAUUAUGAAAUCAUGCAACCACAAUGCAUAUCGUAAUUCACGCAAACAAGACUCGAGAAGGUUGCAUAUCAUAGAGUAGGAUCAUUUGCUCUGAUACCAUUAAAGUUGUCACGCCCCGAUUCCAACAUACGUCCAAGAUCGAUACGUGACGUCCCUAAAUGCCCGUAACUCAACAUACCCCGCCUUUUGGAUAUGUACAAAAUAUAAUUCAACAUCCAGAUGCAUAAUAAUUUUGAGUAUACUUUAUGGCUGCAUCUAACCUCUUCGUUAAACUACCUACGUACCCUCAAUAGGGAUCAAGUCAUUCGUAGUUCCACAAUCGUCAACUCUAAUCUUUCCGUAAAAUACUUCUAACAGAAAAUCAUAAGGCACCAUAUUACACAUCAACCUUAUGUCAACAACAAUUAUCAUCUUUCAUACACGCAUGUAACCCAUUCUCACACAGAUACUUUCCAAUUCAUCCAUCAUAUAAAUCACUGUGUUUCACAUAAUACCGCAAAUCAUAGUAUGUAACAUAUCAAAUAACCAACGCAAUGUUAUUCUCAAGUCACAUUAAUCAAUUACUCUAAUCAUAAUAAUCUCAAUCAUACCCAACUUCAUUCCACAAUCACAUCAAUUAAUUAAUCAUGAAUCAAAGAUACAUGAUCUUAGCAUUUAAUUGUUUAAUCAAUGAAUGCAGUAACAUAUCAUUUCACAAAUUCUAAGGAACUCUAACAACUUCGAAGGAGUCACCCAGACAUCCAACGGUUCAUCUGGAACAAAUCACAACAGCUCAUAAUCAUAAUCUCAUACAACACCAUGAAAAGUGGGGCUAGAGCGACACAGUUCGGCCGAAGCCUACAUCUCUGAAGCUAUCUUGAUCCAAACUCAAUAAAACCCAAGGUGAACAUGAUCCCGGACCAUCUCUCAAUGGAAUCACGAAGUAGGAGGGAUUCCGAACCAACUCUUAAUGAAAUCCAAGUGGAUAUGAUUCCGGACCAUCACUUAACGGAAUCGCGGAGCACAAUGCAUAACCACCACUAAAUGAAACCCAAGUUAGAUAUGAUUCCGGAACAUCACUCAACGGAAUCGUAGAGUAGAAAGGAUUCCGGACCAUCACUCAACGAAAUCGCGAAGUAAAAGGGAUUCCGGACCAUCACGCAACAGAAUCCAAACCAGAAUAUGAUUCCGGAUCAUCACUCAACGGAAUCGCAGAGUAGAAUGUGUAACACCAAUCAAUAAAACAAGACAUGGAUCGAGUUACUCAAGGUACAAAGACUCAACGAAACGAGGAUGAAUAAUGACACGAGGGUUGAAACAUGUUUCGAAGGCAACAAACCCCAUAACAAUGGUUAAUGGUCCACUACUAGCCCUCGUAUUUCAUCACAUCAAUCCAAUCAUACAAUACAAACCAUAUUUCCAAUGCACAAGUCAAAUCAUACUUAAUGAAAAUAGAUCAAUGACCAAAAAUAAAAUAACACUUCAAUAGAAUUCACAUUUAAUUAACAUGGGUCUAUGGCAUAUAUAUAUAUAUAUAUAUAUAUAUAUAUAUAUAUAUAUAUAUAUAUAUAAUUCACAUUUCAAUAUGCAAUUCGAAUCAAUCUUCCACAAAUAAUACCCAUCCAUGAAUCAAAUCACAUUUAAUAAAAAUAGAUCGAUGGCCAAUUAUAAAAGAAUCACAUUUUAAUAGAAAACACAUUUAUAAAACCAUGUCAUAUCCACAAAUGAUAUUAAUACCACCACUCAAUUAGUAGUAAAGAAGAUUAGAAAGGAAUCUGGAAAGAAACUAGGUGUGGCAAAAACAGUACUCUGCUUCUCCACAAAAUUUGCAGAAAACAGCACCAUUGGACCAAGUUUAGGCUCCUUUUGGAACAUUCAAAACUAAACCAAAUCAUGUAAUAUUAUAUGGGUUUUGAAGCUUGUGUUCUGUACCUUAAAAGCAUACAAAGUUUGUAGAAAACGGAGCUCUAGAUUGGAAGUUAUGCCAAAAGAAAAACGGAGUCUUGAAACUGGACACCCAAUUUUCUGCUGCUGUUUGGCAGCUCGCGACCUAAGUUUAAAUAAGGUUUUGAUCAACCAAAACUCAACGGAUCUGAGUGAAAACAAUUGGGUUACGACCAUGAACAUAUGUACUUUCAACACACUAAAAAUUUUCUCCAAAGGAGUACAUAAAGGCCUAAAAAUUAAGAGCCAAAGAAGGCUACUCGAAACUUGAGUUUUCUUUGCAAAGAAAUCAAUUUUCUGCAGCUUACGUAACAGCCCACUUCCAAUUCAUAUAACAAAUCCCAAAAUACUUCCAGGUAGUCCAGAAGUCAUGUAUACAACAUCCAAAACUAACAUGACUCAAAAUUAACAAGAAAUUGACCUUUUGAACCAAACCCUUGAUCAAGAAAUUUGAUCUACACACCCAAUCCAAAAUACCCAACUCUAAUUCAUGUUUAGACUAGUUCAUUGAAUGAUAGAAACCCUAAAUAGAAUUAAGAACUCCAAUAUAUCAUGGCAAUUUCAAUUCAACUUAAGAAAGUUAAAUUUGAAAAUCAAGAUAAUGAAGUAACAAGGAAUUUACCCUUUAAAUCUCUGAAUCCUUCCUUCACAAUCACGUUCUCUAACUCCUUUCUCUCCAAUUUUUGCCUGAAGAAAGAAGGAUUUUCUUCCAACAGCUAUGGAAGAGCCACCUCCUCCCUGUUUCUUUUUCUUUCCUCGCAAAGCCAGGAAGAACGUGGAAGAACGUUCUUUUCCCCCUUCUCUUUUGCAACUCCCUUUUUUCCUUCUCUUUUUUUUUUUCCUUCUUCCCCCCGUUGGUCCCUCCUUUUCCUCCUCUGUUUCUUUUUUUAUUUUUUUUCUUUUCUUUUCCCUCUUUUUCUCGCCACUCUCAUGGCUUUCCUUUUCUUUUUUUCCUUCAGCCACUCCCUUGGCUUUUUCUUCUCUUUUCAAUUUUUUUUUUUGCAACAACUUCAAACGUCUGUAACUAUACCGUUAUAAUCCGAACUCGCAAACGGCUUUUGCCUAUGUGUUCGUGAUCUCGAUAUCUAUUCAACAAUAUAAAUUGUGACUUUGAAUGGUCUAAGGAUUUUAAAUAAUUAAUUUCCUGAAAAAUAAUAUAAAAUCUCUAUAAUACCAAUACGUGGAUUAUAAUAAUGAAAUCCAAGAACGAGAUUUCACACUUCCACAAAUGGGCAGGAAUGAUGACCGAGGAUCGUAUAUUAACACCCCCAAGGGACUGAUUCUGACCAACCGCCCAUUUAUAUCCGGAUUUAACUGAAUAAAUCCCCUUUUUAUCUAGGGGCCAAACCAAAUGAUCUCGCAACAAAGGGUCUCCAAUAUGCGUCCCAAGGAUAGCCUCGAACUCGGACCUCUCCAAGAAAGGUUUCAAAAAAUCAAUGUCCCACAUCCCAUUCUCUGGGCAAAUCAGCGAAUUUACCAACAAAUGAUUAGAAACCUGAACCGUACCAAAGGGAGAAGGUAUUCUCAAUGGAAUAGACGAGAUCCAUCUAUCAACCCACACCCUAACCUCAUUUCCACUCAUAAUCUGCCAAUGAGCUCCAUUGUAUAAUAUAUCCCUUCCAGUGAUGAGGCUAGACCGGGCCCAAGAGGCUCUCCCGCCCUUUUUAGCAUCCAUGAAAGAAUAAUUAGGGAAGUAUCCGGCCUUUAACACCAACGCCCACAAAGAAUUUAGCCCCUCAAUUAAUCUCCAACACUGCUUAGCCAACAGGGCAUCGUUGAACAUCUCAAAACUCCUUAGACCUAACCCACCCAUAUCCUUAGCCCACCCCAACUUCUCUCUAGACACUCAAUGAAUACGUUGCUCACCAUCUUUUUGCCUCCACCAGAACUUUGAUAUCAUGGCAUCCAACUCAUUGCAUAGGGAAGUAGGAAACUUGAAUAAGUUCAUAGGAUAUGCAGGGAUGGCUUGCACCACCGCCUUUAUGAGGACCUCCCGCCCCGCUUGAGAGAGAGCGGCUUUCUUCCAUCCCCAAAGUUUGCCCAAUAAUCUUUCUUUAACGUAUGAUAGCCCACUUUUUUUCAAACGACCCCAAAUAGCAGGAACCCCCAGGUAUAAACCUGGAUCUCCAACCCUCUCCAUACCCAGAAUGUUCGCCAAAUGAUGGGAUAAAGACUCAGGCACAUUGUUUCCAAAGAAAACGCUUGACUUAGACUUAUUAACUUUCUGACCCAACGCCAAGCAAUAAUCAUCAAUCAUUUUGGAUAAUUGCCGACAGUUCUCCUCCUCAGCUCUCAGGAAAAUCAGAGUAUCAUCAGCGAAGAAUAUAUGGGAUAUUGUCGGGCCAGGCUUGUUCAUUUGGACUCAUCUGAUCCAACCUCGAUCACUAGACUAUUGGAUACAAAGUGAUAACACUUCACUAACCAGUAAGAAGAGGUAAGGGGAAAACGGAUCUCCCUGCCUUAGCCCCUUUAAAGGCGCAAACUUGGGUCCGGGUUAACCAUUCAGAAUGAUUGCAAAAUUCACAGAAGAAAUUCAUCCAAGGAUCAAGCUUCUCCAUCUACUGUCAAACCCCAAUUUCUCCAUCACCGCCAUUAAAAAAUCUCAUUCCACCCGAUCAUAAGCCUUGUGCAUAUCCAAUUAAUGCCCAAUUCAAAUUUGCAUUUCAUUUUCCUCGUUUUAAGAAAAUGGAAUAAUUCAUGUGCAAUUCCAAAAUUGUCUUAGAUUUGCCUUCCUGCCACAAAGGCAUUUUGGGUAGGGGAAAUCAACUUCGGAAGAAUCAGUUUAAGGCGAUUUGCCAAAACCUUCGAGAGUACCUUAUAAGAGUAGUUGCAUAAACUAAUGGGCCGAAAUUGAGAAACGGCUUCCGGGUUUUGAACUUUCGGUAUCAGAACCAAAUGAGUAGCAUUGAUCCUCAUGGGAUUUUCCAAACCAUGCAUCAAAUCUCCAAUAAUUUCAUUCACAUCAGCAACAAGUAUGUCCCAAUGAGCCUGAUAGAAAAUCCCCGGGAAGCCAUCAGGGCCAGAAGCCUUCAACCCACCCAUCUGCAUAGCGGCAUCCUUCACUUCGUCAACCGAGACCGUACCCGAAAGGGUUGCAUUCAUAUCAUUGGUAACCUUUGGGGUCACACAAUCGAGGAUUUCUCCCCACUCCCGUUGCUUCGAUGACUUGAAUAACUCCGUAAAAUGCUCAUCCAUCAAACUCCUAAUUUGACUUGGGCUUUCAAUCCACUCUCCAUUGCUAUUUUUUAAAGUCACCACCUUGUUUCUUCGUCUUCUUUGAAGGGUAGACUGAUGAAAGAAUUUCGUGUUGGCAUCUCAUUCGUUUAGCCAAUGCACCUGGGACCUUUGUUGCCAGUAACACUCUUCCUGCCUCCAUAAUUGAUCAACAUUCUUGGAAAGAGACACAAUUUCCACCGCAUUCUCCCUCCAAUUCUAUUGGAGCCGACCCAAAUUAUCCAACAUCUCUUUAAUUUGCCUCCCACAAUUUCUGAAUUUUCCCAUGCUCUAGUUAAUUAAUUUGGCACGACAAUUAUUUAUCUUGUAAUUCCAUCUCUCUAUAGGGCUCCCCUCCCUGGAAUGAUUCCAUGCAUCUCUCACAAUAUCACUGCACUCCCCAUCCUUAGCCUAAAAGGCCUCAAAGCGAAACAUCUUUUUCGUUUUGUUAAUCUGAAGCUCACAUAUUACCACCACAAGACUAUGGUCAGAACCCAGAGUCGUUCCAAUUUUAACCGACGUAUUUGGCCAAAUAAAUUGCCAACAAGCAUUCACCAGCCCCUAUCUAGCCGAGCCUCCACCAACUGCCCAUUUCGAGUCCCAUUCCAAGUAAAUUUAGGGCCAUUAAACCCCAAAUCCAUAACCUCUACCUUGCACAUAAACUCUUCUAGGUAUCUAGGUCGGUUGUAUCUCACUUCCGCUCCCCCAGAUUUUUCAUGGUCCCAUAAGACUUCGUUAAAAUCCCCUCCACAAAUCCAGGAGGUAUUAUCCGGGCUGAAUUUCUGAAUCAUACCCUUCCAAAACUCCUCUUUCUCCGUCCUAUACGAUGUCGCGCAAACUUCGGUAAACCAAAAUCUAGCAUGUGAGUCAACCAACACACAUUUAGCAUCAAUGAAAUGCUUUGAAAAUUCCAUCACCUCCACUUGGACCGAGUCCUCCCACUAGAGGCUAAGGCUUCCAGCUCUCCCAAUUGGUGCUACAUCAAAACCAUUCGAGUACCUCAUACGUCUUCUUACUCAUAUUAUUCUAUGGUCUUUCAUUUUAGUUUCCGAAGGAAAAAUCAUAGAGGGUCUAUGUUCCCUUAUUUGCCCAUGUAAGUCACGAACCACCGUGUCCGACCCUAGACCACGACAGUUCCAAAAAGGUGUAUCAUGGCGAUCUUACGGGUGUAGAAGGUCAGCCGCCACCACAUCGGGAUGAAGAACCCGCUUUCUUUGACCUCAACGCCUCCUUCUCACCUUCAGGGAUCAUCUUCAUAUAAUCCCCUAUUUCCUGUUGUUCAAUCGGGACAUCCUGCAAGUUCUCCUCCAUAUGGACCGCCCUUUCCAUCAACAAGCAUCUGUCUCUGAUAAACAUCUUACCCAAUCUUUCAGCCGCUCUCUCUUCUCUUCCUCUUACUCUGCUUCUUUCUUCGCCAGUUUUCGUUUUCUUCUGAGAUAAUAAACCCUCAUUUGUACUUACCCUUUCCAAAUCCCUCUUACUCUUACUUCUUCCCCCUUCGUAUCAUGAGCCGAGUCACUUGCUAUUACUACUCUUUUCAUACUUGGAUCUCUUCUUUGAAAUUCCAUUGAGCAUUGACCUUGUUUAUGCAGCACCAUUAUUCCAUUCCCACUUGGUGAAGGGUUAGGUUCCACUAUUUCCUCUAUCACGACAGAUGGUAUUCUUCCAUAAUCAUUUGAAUCCACCCCCGGUUGAAAACCCACUACAAAGCGGUUCUGCCCCAUCAGCCUACAACCAUCCAUGAUCCAUUGGGCCGGGUUAGGAUACGGUUUCUCUCUUAUUCUAUGCACCAUGUGCCAUUUUUUCGAACUGUUUCCUAAUCCUUGCUGAGGUGUAGGUUGAUUGGGAGCCCCCCCACCAGAUGCACUUGAUUCAUUAUGAUCCCCAUUACCACCCUCACUUCGAUGCAUAUUCGUCACCCUUGGUCCCCCCUUUCUUGCUCUCGUACUUCUUUGCUCCCUCAUAUUGAUGACCACAUGUCUUGGCCUUUCAAUGAAAGCUCGCACUGGUGCCGCUUUUGUCCAUUCCUCAUACCCUGCCAUACCUCCCCUUACAGUUUCGAAAGUGCAUUCGUUGUUGGCAUGCCUGAUUCUCCCACAUCGAUAACAAAAAUCUUGAAGUCUUUCAUAUCUAACUUCAAUCCAAGUCUCACCUUUGUUUUCCCUCGGGAGCCAUCAACAUGUAAUAAGGGGCUUCGUAGUAUCUACAGCAACUUUGACUCUCAAAAAACCUCUAGCCUUUGUUGGAUCUUCAACUUCCUCCACUUGCCCAAUCUUAGACGCAAGGCACCUCACAUUUUCUUCUGAACUCAGAUUAAGCGGGAUACCCUUGAUUUGUAUCCAGAACGUGACUACAUCCACAUUGACUUCCUCCAAGGCUAAUUCCGGUGGCCAUUUUUUAACUGAAAAGUUCUGCUUCAUUACCCCCCAGGGAACCUGGUCAAUGAUCUUUGUGGCUGUGCUCUCAUCUAGAACAAUGAUGAUGAAAGUAUUGUCCUUAACCUACUUAAUUUCUAUCUCCCCCAUCUCUUUCCAUAAGGAUCUAAGAAUAGUUCGAACUCCCCAUUUGUUAAGGGUUUUCUUUACCAAAGUUGUACCCACCAGCUUUACACUUUCUUCCAUAGUAGAAAGCUCCAAUUUUUUCUCCAAGUGCACCACAAGUUCCUCCACUUCAGCCCCAACCAUCUGACUACUAAUUCGACAGGAAUCAUAGACAAAUUUGGACACAAUAUACAAUAGAUAGACAAUAGGGAUUAUACUCCAAAUCUUACUUUCUUUUUUCUUGGCUCUCUUGUUGACCUCCCAACCCUUUGACACCAAUUAAAAAUACCACAAACCAUACACAAAUUAACCAGUGUUUGUUUCCACCCAAAUGAACUUACCUCUUCAUUACUGUCCGGAUUUAAUGUUGCUGGGUAGUUGGCCAGGGCUCUAAAUGCAGGAUAAAACUGAGGAAGAUUUAGUUUUACUUUCUCGCCUGAUCUUGAUUGUCUGUAUUUAUGAUUAGGACCACCUUCAUGAAUGAUAGGACUCGAGUUCUGCUUCCUCAUUGGUUUCUACCCAGUAACUUCCUAUGAGUUAAAAUUUGAAAACGCAGGAAACCCACAUACCAGUUCGUCUACAGAGGUAUUUCAAUGGACGCUGCAGGACUCGUUGAAGUUUCUGAAGCUAUUUUGACACCAUUAGAAAAAGUUGUAAUCUAAGUUUUGCUUGGUUCAACAUAAUCAGGUACUGGAGGAGGGAGGUUAACACCUGGAAGCUGGGUUUCCAACGGAGGAAGAGCACUUGAGCUCUCCCCGGUCAGCCAGCUAAAGAGACCGCCUUAUCGGCAUUAGCCAUUAGAACUUCAUAGUGAUGCCCGAAAGCGAGUCUGAGCGGUCUGCCGCCCGUGUUGACCCAAUUCUCCACCGCAAACUCGGGAUUCUUCGACUUGUUCCUCUUGAUUCGCUUCAUCUACCCGUCUGCACAGCCAGUGUAAAUAAUCCCCGAUCUCUUAUCAUAAGCCACGUCCUCCGGCCCCGGCAGGACUCCAUACCCCACACGCUUAGCUCCUCGAAACAUGCAAGAGUUUUAAGCUGGGGCCUUCUUGAUUAAGUGCCGAGUCAACUCGCUAAACGGCACGGAGGCCGGGUCGAACGAGUCAAGUUGGUAGAUUAGGGUUGCAGCAAAAAUGGGGAUGAUCAAGAUUUGAAAUAGAGAAGUUGGAGCUGAGAGCCAUGAUGAUUUGGAGCUGGGUUUGGGUACAGAAACUGAGUCUGCUGAGUUCAUUGACUCGGGUAUGACGUUGAAUUGAAUUUGUGGUUUGGUUAUAAAUACUGAACAAACUGAUCAUCUGAGGCCUUGUUUUGGUGUUUCUGCAGAUUCACGGCGGAGGUGAAAAAUUGAGAGAGAACCGACAUAGCUUUUCGUGUCGAUUACCACAGACGGCGCCAAAUGUUGAUGCACAAAACCGAAGGUCUUGGAACAACGUAAAUCCGACCGUGAAUAUGCAAGAAAGUAAAUAACACAAGAUGUAUCGUGGUUCACCCCAAUUUUUGGGCUACGUCCACACUGAUAUUGUAUUUCUCCGUAAGAGCUUGAUUGUGAGGAUGAGAGCAUGAGAGAGCUUAGAGCUUAGGGGAUGUAAGGAGGCUUCAUGGCCUAAGAAUUGGCCUAAGAAUUGGUCUCUCUUAAUGAGGAGAGUGAAGAGUCAUUUUAUAGAAUAAGGGCUCCUCACUUAUUACAUAUUUGCCAUUUCCUUUAUUACAUAAUUACAUUUGAGUCCCCCGAGUAUUUAUACGAGAUCUAAAUACGGAGGCCCUAAGUAUGAUACAAACAGUAGUCCCCCAAGUCUUCAGUCAAGAGAGUAUUUUGGCUAGAGACUUGAAACUCAGUCCAUGUGUGGGCCGAAGUAACUAGAUGUUUUCUUGAACUGAUGCUCGAUAUGAGGCGAUGCUCAAUCUGAAAUGAUGCUCAACUAGAAGUAGCACAUGUUGCGAGGCUGCUCGGCUUGUGGCUUAUGUUGCCUUGGUUGGCUCAGCUUGUGGCGUCGAAAGUGUGGGAGUCCCUUUUAUAGAAUAAGGGAUCGCUCCGCAAUACAUAAGUGAUGGGUUAGGAGUGGUGCUUGCGGCGAAGAGGUUGCUCAGUAGGCGGCGAUGCUCUCUAAUGAAGAGGAAGAAGUCCCUUUUAUAAGGUAAGGGCUCGCUCCUCAGUACAUGAAUAAUGGGUGCUCUCUAAUGAAAGUGAGGGAGUCCCUUUUAUAAAAUAAGGGAUCGCUCCUCAAUACAUAAGUGAUGGGCUAGAGUCCCCCAAGUAUUUUUUAUGAGGCCCAAUAUAUGGUACAUAAUGUAAAUGUUGAUGCACAAAACCGGAGGUCUUGGAACAACGUAAAUCUGACCGUGAAUCUGCAAGAAAUUAAAUAACACAAGAUGUAUCGUGGUUCACCCCAAUGUUUGGGCUACGUCCACACUUAUAUUGUAUUUCUCUGUAAGAGCUUGAUUGUGAGGAUGAGAGCAUGAGAGAGCUUAGAGCUUAGGGAAUGUGAGGAGGCUUCAUGGCCUAGGAAUUGGCCUAAGAAUUGGCCUAAGAAUUGGCCUCCCUUAAUGAGGAGAGUGAGAAGUCCUUUUAUAGAAUAAGGGCUCCUCACUUAUUACAUAUUUGCCCAUUCCUUUAUUACAUAGUUACAUUUGAGUCCCCCGAGUAUUUAUACGAGAUCUAAAUACGGAGACCCUAAGUACGGUACAAACAUAUAAGUAUGAUAUCAAUGUACGCUAACAUUAAGUCAAGAAGUAUACCACAACACAGUAGCUCAACAGCAAUAUAAAUAAUCGUGUGCUUAAUAAUCCAUACUAGUACGCAAAUCGGAGUCACCUAUGGUGACCUGUACGACUGCACCCAUAUCUCAUCAAUCAAUGCUAGCACAUAAGUCGGAGUCACCUAUAGUGACCUGUACGACUCAUCCAUAUCUCAUCAAUCAAUGCUAGCUCAUAAGUCAGAGUCACCUAUAUUGACAUGUACGACUUAUCCAUAUCUCAUCAAUCAAUGCUAGCUCAUAAGUCGGAGUCACCUAUAGUGACUUGUACGACUUAUCCAUAUCUCAUCAGUCAAUGCUAGCUUAUAAGUUGGAGUCACCUAUAAUGACAUGUACGACUUAUCCAUAUCUCAUCAGUCAAUGUUAGCUCAUAAGUCGGAGUCACCUAUAGUGACAUGUACGACUUAUCUAUAUCUCAUCACAUAUCCUUGUAAUAUGUCGGCCGGAUCCACCUCUAGUGGCAUGUAUGGCUGAACCCAUAGCUCAUCACAUAUCCUUGUAAUAUGUCAGCCGGAUCCACCUCCAGUAGCCUGUACGGCUGAACCCAUAGCUCAUCACAUAUCCCUGCACACAAGUCGGAACCACCUACAGUGGUCUGUACAACAGGACUGGGUAUAAUUAAGUACGUUCAAGUACUACGAUCACGUGAAUACUGUGCGAAUAAUCGCGAGUCACCUACGAGUCGGAACCACCUAUAGUGGUUUGUACGACAGGACUGUGCACCUACCUUGGAUCCAAGGUGAACGUAAGGUGCGGGGGGGGUGAACAUCACGUGAAGGACUGUGCCCUGGCCACGGGCGGGAGCACUAACACCGGGAUGCAGGUUUAUGAGCUCUAACUGCAUCUAUUGUAACAUAUACGACUCAUAGGCAACCUGUACGACAGUGUCGGAGUUGCCUAUUAUAUACAUGUAGUCAUGCCAUAACUCCAUCAUUUCAACUAAUACUCUAAACUCACAUGAACUUACCUGGGUGUCCUGCGUUCAACUUUGCACUUCAAAGCGUUGACAACAAUUAUGUGCAAGUAAUAUACAUAUGGAUAUACCAUGAUGCAAUCUAAUACUCAACCAUGUCAUAGCAUUUUAUAUAUAAUAUGACAUAAAAUGCAUAAGUUAUAACGCCCUACUCCCGAACUAUUUAUUUUCGGGGAUAAUUAUCGGUGAUAAGCCCAAUUAGACACUAGUUUAAUUAACUAUCAUUACUUACGUUUCCUUACUUCAAUUUCUUGAUUCUUCACACAUUGAUUUAUGACCAACAUUUAACCACCAAUUCAUAAGGUUAAAUCUCACAUCUUCCACCAAUGUCUCUCACAUUAUUCAAUUCCUUAAACAAGGCUAGUCUCAAAGGUUUAGUCUCAUUUGUUGUAUGGCUGCAUCUAACGUCUCGUUAGACUGCCUACGUACCCUAAACAAGGAUCAAGUCAUUCGUAGUUCACAAUAAUUACCUCAAAGCAUUCACAGUAAUCGUAAGCAAUAAUCAAUUUAUAAAUGUUGGUGGAAUUAUCAAUCAUAUAAUAUAUAUACACACACACACACGAUAUAAAGGAAAAGACCCACUCACCUGAGGUCCGCGCUACGACUCCCUAGCACGCAUAUCGAGACAUCAUGAACCAUAGUUGCCUAUGACCAAUUAUCAAAUCACAUCUCAGAGUUCAUACCGAUAAAAUACACAAUUUACAUAAAACAUAUCCCUACGUAAUUCAAAUUGGAAGAUCUGCAACACAGAUUUCCGAUCUGUUACUUCCAAAGAUCCACAUUACACUUCUAGAACAACAUCUUAAAGUCUCAUUACGAUCCAACGGUCGGAUCUCCGCCAAUUGUCAAAACCAAGUGACGGUUAACCUUUUAUUUUAUGAACUUACAAAUCCAAUUCAGGAAUAUUCGUAUAUCGGAUUCCCGACCUGUAAGUUCCUAUGGUCCUCAAAUAUUACGUAUUAUAACGUAUUAAAGUUUGGUGAUGAUCCGACGGUCGGAUCGUCGAUUCAUACAAUGACCUAUUAACGUAACGUAGAGAAUUUAGAUUCCAACAAUCAACCUACGUCAUACAACUACCAAAAAUGAACUCAAGGCAUCUAAUUAGCCUAAUAAUAACAUCGGCGGCCCCCUGGCCACGCGCCGCUGUGGGUGGUGGUCGGCGCCCCGACUCGUCGAAAAAUCCAACUAUUUCAAAAAAUUACCAAAAUUGUAGGUCUCAAUGAGUGGAGCAACUUUAAUACCUGUGACCAAGGCCAAUUAGGCCGGGAACCUCAAUUUUACAUAAAUCCGUUGGAAACCCUAAAGAGGGUGUGCUUCGAUUCGACCUCCAUGCUCACUCCGACGCCUCCACAAGUGUUUGGGCUUUGUUCCUAAGGUUGAGGGGAGUCUAUUUGUGGUGGUAAUUGGAGGAGGUAGCUUCAAAUCAUGGCGGAAUAGAACCCAACCCGUGCGCCAUUUCUUGUACGGUUUUACCCAAAAUUCACCAAUUUCCACCCAAUUUUCACAUGAAAAUGGAAGAGGGAUCGGUUUGCCUUGUGGUAAGGGUCAUUUUGACACUAACCUUGUCGUCCAAGGUGGCCGGAGAUGGGAGAAUCCACCGGGUCGGGUCACGGGUUGAGGGAAACCCGGUUUCCCCUUUUUCUUUCUCCCUCCUUUCCCCUCCUUUCCUUCCUCUGGUUGGUCACCUUCACUCUCUCUCUUCAUUCCCUUAGCCGAAGCUCUCUCUCCCUUCCUCUCUGAUUGGGCAGCCAAUCCCCUUCUUCUUUUUCCCCUUCUCCCCCUGUUUCUUCUUCUCCUUCCCUCUAUUUUUACCAAAGUUAAUCUUAAAAUAAUGUAAUGGUACUUAAGAAAAUAUAUAAAAUAAUAAAUGGUAAUAUCAAUACCCCAAUCCGCUUCUGUUUACGCCUAUGCGGCCGUAUUGUCAAGUACUACAAAAAUACACUAAAGGAAUAUUUCAUACGUCUCACUAUACGUUGGUCAACGAAAGUCAAUACCCUCGCCUCUUAGGGCAUUUUCGUAAAUUCACACUUUUAAAAUUUAUAAAAUCAUAGAACUAGGGACGGGUUGUCACAUAUUUUCUUAUAUUUUUUUUAAUUUUAAAUUUAUUAAUUAUAUAACUUUACACUUUAUAUCUUUUCAAAGAAGGCAGAACAAGGAGGAGAUCAAUUAUUCCUCAAUUAAUCUACUUCAUUAUUCCUCAAUUAAUCUACUUCUUAACUUUUUUGAUAUUAAAUUUCAUUUUCAUGUGUUAAUAAAUGUAAGAAUCUAAAUGAUUUCGCAUGUGAUUGGCAUGAAAUCCAAAUGUCUCUUUAGUUCAAUAUAACAACCUCUUGUCCCACGAGAUUUUGAAACCACUACCUCCUCCGACGAAAUGGAGAUCAAAAAACCAUUAGUACAAAGGUAGAAUACAACCAAACUCUAGGUAUAGCAAUUUUUGUUCUGUCUAACAAAAGCCAAUACAUGCAGAUGACGCUUUACCAUAGUGACAAAAAACAAUUAUGUCUACACACCCCAACCAACCUCCUCACCCCUAACAAAAGCCACUACAUUGAUAUCCUCUACCCUUCUAAAGUCAUCACAUUCUUAUUCAGAGAAUGGAGGAGAGAAGCUGAAGUAGCAUAUGAGGCCAUGAGAACAUGGAAAUUCAGACCAAAGAAGCAUAAAAACCAUAUGGAAAAGAUGAUGAUGCAUGUGGAACAAUUGACAAACUUGAUAGAAAAGAUGUGAUGCGCAAACACGACGCCUUUUCAGGUUGGAGGGGGCCUUUGUGGUCUGAGCGAGAGAGAGAGAGAGAGAGAGAGAGAGAGAGCUCCUCUAAUUCAAUCAUAUAAAAGUAAAACUGAUGAUAAAUCAUUCCAAACACACAAAUAACGUUAUAAAAAUGCAGUCUCUUUAAUUAAUUAUUGACAAAUAGCUUGAAAUCUUUCAAAAUGCGGUCCAUUCAUUUUGCGGUUGCGGUUGCGAUUUCUUCGUUUUGUUGAAGCUCGCCAGCCUCUCAACAACGGUGCAAUCCACUUUACAUAUGAGGAGGUGGGGGGAGCUGCCCUUGUUGCAGAGGAGGACCUUGCUUCCUCGGUCUAUUUGUAUUAAUAAAUUUACUAUCUGCUUCUCAAAUAAACCCAACUUGUCUUUCAAACCAGGUGAAAUGUUACUCUUGGAAACCUGUAAGAUUGAUAUGAGGCGCUCUAACAUGGUUCUGAACAUUUUUAGCUUCUCAAGCUGCUCUGACUUUGGUUGUUGUGGAAGAGAAUCGUGCUGGCAAACAGAAAGACCAGACAUCAGUAAGCAAAAGAAUGGCAAUAUAAGGAGUAACAACUUUGUUGCGAAAUCUUAUUAGCAUUAUUGGUGAGGUAACAAUCCCAAGUAGACAGUCUACAUGGGUACAAUAAUUAAAAGGGAGAUCAAGGUAGAAUCUAUCAAAGAGCAGCACCACAAUAACCUAGCAGGGAAAGCCCUGCUAAUUGCUAAAAGUUCAAGCAACAAAUUAUGAGAGAAGAAAAAAUUGAAAUGAUUACAUACCUGCUGAAGUUUAGUAGCAAUUUUCUGAUACAUUUCACUUAGUUCGGGUAAGUAAUUUUCCUUCAUGACUUUGAUCUGCAAAUGAAAGUUAUAAAUACAAUGAUGAUUAGAAAAAACUUUGCUGCAGCUACAUGCUUGCCGAUACUCAUGAAUUCAGACAGCAUGAAUUCAUGUAUGCUUGUAUCUAAUGAAGCAAGUUUUAAUGAACUCCCAACCGAUGGUAGCUUAACAAAGCUGCCCCACAAGGAAUCUUAACUAGCAUGUAAUUCUUCAAAAUCCCCAUUCAAGGCAAUUUUGGCAUUAGUAUAAUUAUUUUCCAGUAGCUCUAUUCCCACCCCCAUGCCAAAUAAUUUGUAUUUUUAUCUUUAGAUGUUGUAUGUAAAAGCCAUCAAAUGGACAAGAAGUCAGGACAUCUUACUUUUUGAUAGACCUCCUCUUGCCAAUCACCCCCAUUUGCAUAUCCAGUCUGAGCUGAGGAAUCUAGAGAAGCUACAAAAUAUAGAGAGAUAUAUAUGUCAAUGUUUGCACAUAAAAUGAAAUUUGAACACGAGGGUUAAAAAUGAGAAAGAAAAAAAAUAAGCAUUGCAUGCAAAACAUUGAUAUGGAAAAUUAUCCUUCCCAAACAGUUGAGGUGCAAUUUUGCUCCUACUUUCUGCUUAUGACGGUAAUUACUUUUUAUGGGAAGACUUCAGGUGCAAUUUUGCCCUUGAUUGGGGACUUGGGGUUGCAUACCUUGAUUGGGGACCUGGGGUUGCAUACCGAAAGACCCUACUCAAGUAAAUAGCAAGAAUAAACACCAUAUAAACAAGCGUCAAAACAAGAAAACAAUAAAUGUCAUUUGUACUCAUCAUUUGAUCCAUUAAAUACGAGCGAAUAAAGAUAUCAAGAAAGAAUCAUCUCAGUUAAGAAAUGCGGGAGUAAUUAAGAAAAAGAACGAACGUUUCUCGCAAUAGAUCAACCAUCAAGAAGAAAGCUAGGCGGGAGAGAAAAGGGCAGUUUUCAAUAGUUGUUUUUACUGUUACCAGCAGAGUUAGAUUGUAAAGGAUUGCCCAUUGAAUUCUGAGACUUGGUCUCCAUUGUGAGCAUCUUCAGAGAAAUUUUCCGUAGAUAAUCCGACUACAAAAAUAAAAAAAUCCAUGCUAAAUUUAGAAUACAGUUCUAUCCAAAAUAUGAAGAAAGUUCAAACAUAUACAACAUAUUUUUAAGAAGUCAUAUAUGUAAUAGAUAGGUAAGUAUUUAAGUACGCAAACAUUUCAUGCACCAUAAGAAAUAAGAACUCUGGUAUUAUGGAAGCACCUGGCUUGUGGCUGCAGUAUAAAUCUUUUCCUCAAACCUUACAGCAAUUUUACUGAGUUCCUGUAAUCCAUCUUGUCCGGAGAAGGGAAAAUGCCUCUUCAACGUAUCCAUUCUAUAAAAAAGGUCGUAUCCAUUCUAUACAUGCAAUAAAAUCAACAUCAGUUACUGACUACCAAUAUGUUUUAAGUUUGAAGUCCUCUCGCCAUAGUUUAGAUUAGAUUACGCUAAAUUAGACUACCGCUUGAAACAAAAAAAGAAUCGACAAAGAAAAACACUUGCAGAUUGUUGACAAUUCUUUGCCUUGAAUCAGCCUGCAGCUGACUCCUCCAAUCGCCGGCAUCCAUGGCCGCCUCUCCAACUUGAGAAGGCCUCCACUUACUGGUAUCCAUCAAAUCCAAUCAACCCAACAAAACUGCCAAAAACAAAAGCACAGGACUGAGCAACUUCAACGAAAACCUACGAAAAGGGCACAAAAAUUCGUACAAGAGCUAGCUAUUCGAACGACCAUACCGUUUAUAAUUACGCAGGCAGUUUUUUUGCUUCAGAAAUUGCAUUCAUUCAAGCUGAUUCUAAACACGGUUUAGGCGCCAUGAAAAAUCAAAACUUGCAAUUCACAUACAAUCGAAAACCAGAUACGAUUUACACAAUCAGAUCAAAAAAUAAAAUAAAAAUAACGAAUUUCCCACAAAAACCCACGAUCGAUCAACAUCUAAAACAAAAAACCCAACAAAAUUUGACCAAAAAGUUACCUCUUUUGUUUCAGAACAGGAGAGUUGAAGAUUGAAAGGUUCAGGUUGCCUGGAGUGAAACAAUGGAGAAAUUGCAGAACUGGGAAAUCGGGGGAUUGGGACAGGAAGGAGGGUUCUUGCUCAAAAGCUUCAAACUUUGACAAGAUUGAAUGGAUUGAUGCGUCCGAUGUGGUCUUUUUAGUUUGAAGUAGGAAGGGAGAGACAACAAAUAUCCUAUUUUAACCAAUGUCUGAUUUUUUAGGUUUUUUUUUUUUUUUUAUAGAAAAACUGAUGAAAAGAUGUUUUAGUUUUAAUAAAAAAAUUAUGUUAUAAGUUUUGUUUAAUGAUUAGUAUAAGACUUAUAUUAAAGUAGUCAAACUAAAAAUGGCAUAACUAUAAUAACUUAUUAUUUGUCGAUUUUACCUUUAACUUUUUUAGGUUAACUUCCAGAUUUUCGUCGUUAAUGAAGUUCAUCGUUGUUUUGCAGACCUUCUUCUUUUUUUUUGAAACAAAAUUAUAGAUCCUCAUGCAAGUUAAUUUAUAUUUUGUAUUAUUUUGUUGAAACGUGAUCGUUGUUAUUAUUCAUAAAGUAUUCGAAAUACUGUUUUUCAAUUUUUCUUCGUUAGUGGAGUUCAUCCUUUGUUUUUCCAGAAAACAAAUUUAAGAUCUGCAUGUUAUUCAAUAAUAACGAUGGGUCACUGUUUCUGGAUUGUAAAAAUAAACUGUUUCUAGAUUUUAAGCAACACUGUUUCUGGAAUCCAAGUCACUGUUUCUGAAUCUAAAUGAAAUAGACACAUUGUUUCUUAAAUGUAAGCUAGAAAAGAAAUAGUGAAAUUCAUUGUAUUUGGAUUCAAAGAAAAAUAAGCAUCUUGUUUCUUAAAUAUAAUCAACUGAUGCAUGAAAAAAAAAGAAACAAUCAAAGGUUAAAACAUAGACUGUUUCUGGAAUUUAAGGCACUGUUUUUAGAAUUUAAGUCACUGUUUCUGGAUUUUGGUUCUUUUAUUUCCAGAUAGAGUGUUUGUUUGUGCACAGAAAAAACAAAAACUGUAUUUGAUUUUUUUUUUCCAGAAAUAGUGUUAUGUUAUGGGUUCUCCAGAAACAGUUUUAUGUUUUGGUUUUUUUUUUCUAUUUACAGACGCUUGACAUGUACGUACAUCACCGGGACCGUAGGUCCUUAUUGGAUCUGAUUGGAAUAAAAUACUAACACUAUAAAUUGUUUGUGGUGCAGAUAAGACGAUGAGGAUGAGGAUGAGGACGAUGACGAGGAUGAGGAGGAUAAGGGCACGAAAAAGGUAGACAAAAGUUUUGGAUGAUUUUUUAUUAAACUUUGAACCCUUUUGGUUAAAUUGUUUGUGUCUCUAACAUUACUGAUGUAAAUAGACUGAUUUUCAUAUAUAUUUUUUUUUAAUUUAUUAAUUAUAUAACUUUACACUUUAUUACUAUUCAAAGAAGACAGAACAAGGAGGAGAUCAAUUAUUCCUCAAUUAAUCUACUUCUUGACCUUUUCGGUAUUAAAUUGCAUAUAGUGAGCAUCACGUAACUUUUAUUUUCAUGUGUUAAUAAAUGUAAGAAUCCAAAUGAUUUCGCAUGUGAGUAAAUACAUGUGGUUGGCAUGAAAUCUUCAAUAUAACCUCUUGUCCCAUGAGCUUUUGAAACCAUUACCUCAUCCGACGAAAUGGAGAUCAAAAAACCAUUAGUACAAAGGUAGAAUACAACCAAACUCUAGGUAUAGCAAUAUUUUUUUCUCUCUAACAAAAGCCAAUACAUGCAGAUGACGCUUUAUCACAGUGACGAAAAACAAUUAUAUCCAUGCACCCAAACCAACCUCCUCACCCCUAACAAAGCCAAUACAUUGAUAUCCUCUACCCUUAUAAAGUCAUCACAUUUUUAUUCAGAGAAUGGAGGAGAGAAGCUGAAGUAGCAUAUGAGGCCAUGAGAACAUGGAAAUUCAGACCAACGAAGCAUAAAAACCAUAUGGCAAAGAUGAUGAUGCAUCUGGAACAAUUGACAAACUCGAUAGAAAAGAUGUGAUGUGCAAACACGACGCCCUUUCAGGUUGGAGGGGGCCUUUGUGGUCUGAGACUUGGUCUCCAUUGUGAAGUCACGGCCCAGGAUCAUGGAAGUACCUGGACUGUGGCUGCAGUAUACUAAUAAGAGGGAGGGAGGGAGAGAGACAGACAGAGAGAGAGAGAGCUCCUCUAAUUCAACCAUAUAAAAGUAAAACUGAUGAUAAAUCAUUCCCAUAGUCAUACAAUAAAAGUAAAUAACAUUUCUACUGUUCCAAACACACAUAAAACGUCAAAAAAAUGCAGUCUCUUUAAUUAAUUAUUGGCAAAUAGCUAGAAAUCUUUCAAAAUGCGGUCCAUUCAUUUCGCGGUUGCGGUUGCGGUCUCUUCGUUUUGUUGAAGCUCGCCAGCAUCUCUACAAUGGUGCAAUCCACUUUACAAUGCACUGUGCAGUGCCCAUUGCACUUUCUUUUCCACUGCCCUGGCAUUAUCAGCAGAAUCCGCAUAUGUUUGACAAUAUUUUUCCGCGUAUGUUGCAAAUGAUAUAAAUUCUUCAAGCGUCACAUCCUUCUUGCCCUUGUUUCUUCUUCUGGCAGCAGCAGUGGCGGGAGUAGCAGCACCACACCGAUGACAACGCCCAGCCUUCCACCUCACAGCAGCAAACAGAUGCACUCAAUGCAUCUGAGCCAAUGUCACUGACAGAUGCACUCAAUGCAUUAGGUGACAUCGAUUUCACCUGCAAGUUCAAAAUACAGAAAUUUAAUUUAAGCACAAGUGAGGGAAGGAAAAGACCAAUUUAGAUGGUAAGUACUGAAACAUCAAUACAGCACUCAAAAAGAGAAAUAUGUAAUAAGAACCACUUUACUAACCGCCUUAAUCAAGCGUUCAAGAGGCUGCUCGGUAACACUCGAUUUGCCAGAAAUAGUUGACAAAGCAUUAACAUGACUAGCAUCUGGUACAAUAAAUUCAGCAAGCAAAGGAGAUGCCAACAUCCCACUAGUGCCAAUUGCAAGGGACUGGACUGGUGCUCCCACCCCAGCUGCUUGUUGAUGUCCGAUAUUCCCAGCAUUUGGUAGUGAGGAAGGUUUCUCAGAAUCCCCUGGCAUGGGGGAUGGAACCAUGGGAGUUGAAGGAGAUGGGAUGACAACAGGUGAACCGGCAGUUUGCAAUGGUGUUCCAGCUUUCAGGUGAGUCAGUAGAUUCUUGUGGUCAACUUGGGGAGAAGAAUGUUGCGAAAUUUGACGAGAUGCAGCCUGAAUGAGUUGGUUUGAUGAUGGAAUAGGAAAUGGAGAUCCUAAUUUCAACUGCUGAUGUGGAUAAGCACGCUGGCCUGCGGAUAUAUGUUGCUGAAAAACCCCUGGCUUAACACCCAUCCCCUGUCUCAUCUUCAAGUCAUUUGCAUCAUUCAUUUGAUGAAGCAGUGGCAUUUGGUGUUGGUUCGCCUCCAUCUGCGCCGGAAGCUGCUGCUUUGCUUGCUGCAACUGUUGCUGCUGCUGUUGCUGUUGCAGUAUCUGCUGCUUCUGUAUCAAUUGCUGCUGCAUUCGCUGUUGAUACUGUUGCUUCAGUUGAUUCUGAAACAUUUGCUGUUCCUGCUGUUUUAAUUGCUGGUGUUGAAGCAUACCAGAAUUUGACUGAAGGGAGAUAAUAUUUGGCUGAAGCAUACUAACCCCACUCUGCGAUGACAGACCAUUCAUGUUAGCUUGCUGGGGAGCACUGACAGGAGUUUGUUGGAUAGAUCCCACCGGAACUUGCUGCAAAGAGUUCGGUGCAUUUCCCUGUCCUGAAUCCAAAUUUGUACUUGGCUGCAAUGAAUUCAUCAUGUUGCUGUGCUGUUGAAACCCCAGAAAUCGAAGACAUUGAAUUUUGCUCCGAGCUUGUCAUAUAGUUCUGCUGCAUUGUUGGCACAGAACCUUGUAAAUUCAUUGUUUGCAACUGCGGGUUCAUUUGAUUUUCAUGAGACUGCACUUGACGAAUUUGAGACUGCGGCUGCUGCAUGGAGUGCAUAUGAGGUGGGGGGAACUGCCCUUGUUGCAGAGGAUCUUGCUUCCGUGGUCUAUUUGUAUUAAUAAAAUUUACUAUCUGCUUCUCAUAUAAACCCAAAUUAUCUUUCAAACCAGGUGAAACAUUACUCUUGGAAAUCUGUAAGACUGAUAUGAGGCGCUCUAACAUGGUUUUGAACAUUUUUAGCUUCUCAAGCUGCUCUGACUUUGGUUGUUGUGGAAGAGAAUCGUGCUGGCAAACAGAAAGAACAGACGUCAGUAAGCAAAAGAAUGGCAAUAUAAGGAGUAACAACUUUGUUGCGAAAUCUUAUUAGCAUUAUUGGUGAGGUAACAAUCCCAUGUAGACGGUCUACAUGGGUACAAUAAUUAAAAGGGAGAUCAAGGUAGAAUCUAUCAAAGAG
rnacentral:lncRNA from 1 species